rnacentral:rRNA from 1 species
ACGAACGCUGGCGGCGUGCUUAACCCCUGCCAGUCGCACGGAAAGGCCCUGCUUUUGUGGGGUGCUCGAGUGGCGAACGGGUGAGUAACACGUGAGUAACCUGCCCUUGACUUUGGGAUAACUUCAGGAAACUGGGGCUAAUACCGGAUAGGAGCUCCUGCUGCAUGGUGGGGGUUGGAAAGUUUCGGCGGUUGGGGAUGGACUCGCGGCUUAUCAGCUUGUUGGUGGGGUAGUGGCUUACCAAGGCUUUGACGGGUAGCCGGCCUGAGAGGGUGACCGGCCACAUUGGGACUGAGAUACGGCCCAGACUCCUACGGGAGGCAGCAGUGGGGAAUAUUGCAAAAUGGGCGGAAGCCUGAUGCAGCAACGCCGCAUGCGGGAUGACGGCCUUCGGGUUGUAAACCGCUUUCGCCUGUGACGAAGCGUGAGUGACGGUAAUGGGUAAAGAAGCACCGGCUAACUACGUG